rnacentral:rRNA from 1 species
UACGUAGGCAGCGAGCGUUGUUCGGAAUUACUGGGCGUAAAGCGCACGUAGGCGGCUUUGUAAGUUAGAGGUGAAAGCCCAGGGCUUAACCCUGGAAUUGCCUUUAAGACUGCAUCGCUAGAAUUGUGGAGAGGUAAGUGGAAUUCCGAGUGUAGAGGUGAAAUUCGUAGAUAUUCGGAAGAACACCAGUGGCGAAGGCGACUUACUGGACACUAUAU